AACGAACGCUGGCGGCAUGCCUAACACAUGCAAGUCGAACGAAGGCUUCGGCCUUAGUGGCGCACGGGUGCGUAACGCGUGGGAAUCAGCCCCUCGGUUCGGAAUAACAGUUAGAAAUGACUGCUAAUACCGGAUGAUGACUUCGGUCCAAAGAUUUAUCGCCGAGGGAUGAGCCCGCGUAAGAUUAGGUAGUUGGUGGGGUAAAGGCCUACCAAGCCGACGAUCUUUAGCUGGUCUGAGAGGAUGAUCAGCCACACUGGGACUGAGACACGGCCCAGACUCCUACGGGAGGCAGCAGUGGGGAAUAUUGGGCAAUGGGCGAAAGCCUGAUCCAGCAAUGCCGCGUAAGUGAUGAAGGCCUUAGGGUUGUAAAGCUCUUUUACCAGGGAUGAUAAUGACAGUACCUGGAGAAUAAGCUCCGGCUAACUCCGUGCCAGCCGCCGCCGUAA
rnacentral:rRNA from 1 species